rnacentral:rRNA from 1 species
UACAGAGGUGGCAAGCGUUGUUCGGAAUUACUGGGCGUAAAGAGCGCGCAGGCGGUCGUGCAAGUCGCGUGUGAAAGCCCCCGGCUCAACUGGGGAGGGUCACGCGAUACUGCUCGACUUGAAGGCAGGAGAGGGAAGUGGAAUUCCCGGUGUAGUGGUGAAAUGCGUAGAUAUUGGGAGGAACACCAGUGGCGAAGGCGGCUCACUGGACUGGUACUGACGCUGAGGCGCGAAAGCGUGGGGAGCAAACAGG